CCCAGACUCCUACGGGAGGCAGCAGUGAGGAAUAUUGGUCAAUGGCCGCAGGGCUGAACCAGCCAAGUCGCGUGAGGGAUGACGGUCCUAUGGAUUGUAAACCUCUUUUGUCAGGGAGCAAAGGGCGCCACGUGUGGCGCUUUGCGAGUACCUGAAGAAAAAGCAUCGGCUAACUCCGUGCCAGCAGCCGCGGUAAUACGGAGGAUGCGAGCGUUAUCCGGAUUUAUUGGGUUUAAAGGGUGCGCAGGCGGAAUGUCAAGUCAGCGGUAAAAUUUCGGGGCUCAACCCCUUCGUGCCGUUGAAACUGGCAGUCUUGAGUGGGCGAGAAGUAUGCGGAAUGCGUGGUGUAGCGGUGAAAUGCAUAGAUAUCACGCAGAACUCCGAUUGCGAAGGCAGCAUACCGGCGCCCGACUGACGCUGAGGCACGAAAGCGUGGGUAUCGAACAUGAUUAGAUACCCUGGUA
rnacentral:rRNA from 1 species